rnacentral:rRNA from 1 species
GCCUGAGAAACGGCUACCACAUCCAAGGAAGGCAGCAGGCACGCAAAUUACCCACUCCUGACACGGGGAGGUAGUGACAAAAAAUAACGAUACAGGCCUCUUCGGAGGCCCUGUGAUCGGAAUGAGUACACUUUAAAUCCUUUAACGAGGAUCUACUGGAGGGCAAGUCUGGUGCCAGCAGCCGCGGUAAUUCCAGCUCCAGCAGCGUAUAUUAAAUUUGCUGCAGUUAAAAAGCUCGUAGUCGGAUUUCUGGCCGGGGCGGGCGGUCCGCCGUGAGGCGUGCACUGCCCGUUCCCCUUCUCCCCGUCAAACGGGAGUCGUGGGAGAUUUUUCCCGGCCAGUGAUUCGGUUGGUCGUGCGGUGCUCUUAACUGAGUGCCGUGCGAGACUGGAACGUUUACUUUGAGAAAAUUGAAGUGUUCAAAGCAGGCCAAAGUGCCCGAACAGCUCAGCAUGGAAUAGUGGAAGAGGACCUCGGUUCUAUUUCGUUGGUCUUGAGAUCCUGAGGUAAUGAUCAAGAGGGACUGCCGGGGGCAUUCGUAUUGCGGCGUGAGAGGUGAAAUUCUUGGAUCGUCGCAAGACGCCCGACAGCGAAAGCAUUUGCCAAGAAUGUCUUCAUUGAUCAAGAACGAAAGUCGGAGGAUCGAAGGCGAUCAGAUACCGCCCUAGUUCCGACCAUAAACGAUACCGACUCGUAAUUCGCCGGCGUUCCUCCCAUGACGCGGCGGGCAACUCUCCGGAAAACCAAAGUCUUUGGGUUCCGGGGGAAGUAUGGUUGCAAAGCUGAAACUUAAAGGAAUUGACGGAAGGGCACCACCAGGAGUGGAGCCUGCGGCUUAAUUUGACUCAACACGGGGAAACCUACCCGGCCCGGACACAGUGAGGAUUGACAGAUUGAGAGCUCUUUCUUGAUUUUGUGGAUGGUGGUGCAUGGCCGUUCUUAGUUGGUGGAGUGAUUUGUCUGGUUAAUUCCGAUAACGAACGAGACUCUUGCUUGCUAAAUAGUCCGGCCACCCGUCGUGGUGAGCCGCGAACUUCUUAGAGGGACAAAUGGCUUUCAGCCAUACGAGAUGGAGCAAUAACAGGUCUGUGAUGCCCUUAGAUGUCCGGGGCCGCACGCGCGCUACACUGGCGCAAGCAGCGGGUACAUUUGCCCUCGGCCGAAAGGUCCGGGUAAUCCGCUGAGACUUCUCCGUGCUGGGGACAGGGACUUGUAAUUGUGUCCCUUGAACGAGGAAUUCCAAGUAAACGCGAGUCAUCAGCUCGCAUUGAUUACGUCCCUGCCCUUUGUACACACCGCCCGUCGCUACUAC